ACUCAAAUGAAUUGACGGGGGCCCGCACAAGCGGUGGAGCAUGUGGUUCAAUUCGACGCAACGCGAAGAACCUUACCUGGGCUCGAAAUGUAGUGCAUCGGGGUAGAAAUAUCCCUUCCCGCAAGGGGUGCUAUAUAGGUGCUGCAUGGCUGUCGUCAGCUCGUGUCGUGAGAUGUUGGGUUAAGUCCCGCAACGAGCGCAACCCUUAUUGCCAGUUGCCAUCAUUCAGUUGGGCACUCUGGCGAGACUGCCGGUGAUAAACCGGAGGAAGGUGGGGAUGACGUCAAGUCCUCAUGGCCUUUAUGUCCAGGGCUACACACGUGCUACAAUGGUCGGUACAAACCGUCGCAAACCCGCGAGGGGGAGCUAAUCGGAAAAAGCCGACCUCAGUUCGGAUUGGAGUCUGCAACUCGACUCCAUGAAGCUGGAAUCGCUAGUAAUCGCGGAUCAGAACGCCGCGGUGAAUACGUUCCCGGGCCUUGUACACACCGCCCGU
rnacentral:rRNA from 1 species